CCCUUAGAUGGUCUGGGCCGCACGCGCGCUACACUGAAGGGAUCAGCGUGUUUUCCCUUUCCGAGAGGAACGGGUAACCCGCUGAACCCCCUUCGUGGUAGGGAUCGGAGCUUGCAAUUGUUCUCCGUGAACCAGGAAUUCCCAGUAAGCGCAAGUCAUAAGCUUGCGUUGAUUACGUCCCUGCCCUUUGUACACACCGCCCGUCGCUACUACCGAUUGAACGUUUUAGUGAGGUAUUUGGACUGGGCCUUGGGAGGUUUCGGCCUCCCUUGUUGCUCGGAAAGACUCCCAAACUUGAGCGUUUAGAGGAAGUAAAAGUCGUAACA
rnacentral:rRNA from 1 species